rnacentral:rRNA from 1 species
UACGGGGGGGGUAAGCGUUGUUCGGAAUUACUGGGCGUAAAGGGCUCGUAGGCGGCCAACUAAGUCGGACGUGAAAUCCCUCAGCUUAACUGGGGAACUGCGUCCGAUACUGGAUGGCUUGGAUUUGGGAGAGGGAUGCGGAAUUCCAGGUGUAGCGGUGAAAUGCGUAGAUAUCGGAAGGAACACCUGUGGCGAAAGCGGCUCACUGGACCAUAACUGACGCUGAGGCGCGAAAGCUAGGGGAGCAAACGGG